GAAUGAAGCGGCAAGAGCCCAAAUUUGAAAUCGGGCAACCGAGUUGUAAUUUGGAGACGGGACACUAGAGAGGAGGAAGGCGAUUAAGUGCCUUGGAACAGGCUGCCGUAGAGGGUGAGAGCCCCGUGAAUCGCUGGAGACCGAUCAAUUAGUGCCCGCCGAAGAGUCGAGUUGUUUGGGAAUGCAGCUCUAAGUGGGUGGUAUAUUCCAUCUAAGGCUAAAUAUUAGCGAGAGACCGAUAGCAAACAAGUACAGUGAUGGAAAGAUGAAAAGAACUUUGGAAAGAGAGUGAAAUAGUACGUGAAAUUGUUGAAAGGGAAGGGUAUUUGAUCCGACAUGGUGUUUAGCAGCGGCCCGUUCCUCGUGGAUGGGUGCACCUGGUUUACACUGGGCCAGCAUCGGUUCUGGGAGCCAUAUACGGGGUUCGUGAAUGUGGCCCUUCGAUUCUGUCGGAGGGUGUUAUAGCGCGGGCAUCUUGUGGCUAGCCGGGACCGGGGACUGCGGUGACU
rnacentral:rRNA from 1 species